UACAGAGGGUGCAAGCGUUAAUCGGAAUUACUGGGCGUAAAGCGUGCGUAGACGGUUAUCUAAGUCGGGUGUGAAAGCCCCGGGCUCAACCUGGGAAUUGCAUUCGAGACUGAAUAGCUAGGGUUCGGAAGAGGGAAGCGGAAUUUCCGGUGUAGCGGUGAAAUGCGUAGAUAUCGGAAGGAACACCAGUGGCGAAAGCGGCUUCCUGGUCCAGAACCGACGUUCAGGCACGAAAGCGUGGGGAGCAAACAGGAUUAGAAACCCCCGUAGUCC
rnacentral:rRNA from 1 species